rnacentral:rRNA from 1 species
GACGAACGCUGGCGGCGUGCUUAACACAUGCAAGUCGAACGGAAAGGCCCCUUUGGGGGUACUCGAGUGGCGAACGGGUGCGUAACACGUGAGUAACCUGCCCUUGACUUCGGGAUAACUUCAGGAAACUGGGGCUAAUACCGGAUAGGAAUCCUUGCUGCAUGGUGGGGGUUGGAAAGCUUCGGCGGUUUUGGAUGGACUCGCGGCUUAUCAGCUUGUUGGUGGGGUAGUGGCUUACCAAGGCUUUGACGGGUAGCCGGCCUGAGAGGGCGACCGGCCACAUUGGGACUGAGAUACGGCCCAGACUCCUACGGGAGGCAGCAGUGGGGAAUAUUGCACAAUAGGCGGAAGCCUGAUGCAGCAACGCCGCGUGCGGGAUGACGGCCUUCGGGUUGUAAACCGCUUUCAGCAGGGGCGAAGCUUGUGGUGACGGUACCUGCAGAAGAAGCACCGGCUAACUACGCG